CUAGUCGUGAGGUGAGUAGACAGAUGUGUCUAGUUAUGAAGUCAGUAAAGAGGUGUGUCUAGUUGUAAGGUGAGUAGACAGAUGUGUCUAGUUAUGAAGUCAAUAGAGAGGUGUGUCUAGUUGUAAGGUGAGUAGACAAAUGUGUCUAGUUAUGAAGUCAGUAGAGAGGUGUGUCUAGUUGUAAGGUGAGUAGACAGAUGUGUCUAGUUAUAAAGUCAGUAGAGAGGUGAGCCUAGUUUUAAGGUGAGUAGACAGAUGUGUCUAGUUAUAAAGUCAGUAGAGAGGUGAGCCUAGUUGUAAGGUGAGUAGACAGAUGUGUCUAGUUAUGAAAUCAGUAGAGAGGUGUGUCUAGUUGUAAGAUGAGUAGACAGAUGUGUCUAGUUAUGAAGUCAGUAGAGAGGUGUGUCUAGUUGUAAGGUGAGUAGACAGAUGUGUCUAGUUAUGAAGUCAGUAGAGAGGUGUGCCUAGUUGUAAGGUGAGUAAACAAUUGUUUCUAGUUAUGAAGAGAGUAGUUAGGUGGUUCUAACGUAAGGUGAGUAUUGCUGAUUAUAAAGAUUAAGUAAGGAAUCA
rnacentral:sRNA from 1 species